rnacentral:rRNA from 1 species
UACGGAGGGUGCGAGCGUUAAUCGGAAUUAUUGGGCGUAAAGGGUGCGUAGGCGGUUGAGUAAGUUGGAUGUGAAAGCCCUGGGCUUAACCUAGGAAUGGCAUUCAAUACUGCUCGACUAGAGUGCGGUAGGGGUUGAUGGAAUUCCCAGUGUAGCGGUGAAAUGCGUAGAUAUUGGGAAGAACACCAGUGGCGAAGGCGAUCAUCUGGACCGCAACUGACGCUGAGGCACGAAAGCAUGGGGAGCAAACAGG